rnacentral:lncRNA from 1 species
CAAAGAACUUUUUGUGUGCCAUGACACUGGUGUAAAAAUUGGAGUGUUUUUUUAUGUAAGUCAUCCACAUCUGCAACACCUCAGGAAACAUCCUGCAGCUCUUCCACCAGCAGUAAUUUCUCUCCCACUUUGACCAGCUGGCUCAUAACAUCCACUGAUGGCAUCAUGGAAAACCUGGGGUAUAGUUGCAUGACUUGCAGCCACAAACAGGUCACUCUGCCAGCAUGA